rnacentral:rRNA from 1 species
UAAGCCGUUGAAGGUGUCCUGUGAGGGGUGCUGGAGGUAUCAGAAGUGCGAAUGCUGACAUAAGUAACGAUAAAGCGGGUGAAAAGCCCGCUCGCCGGAAGACCAAGGGUUCCUGUCCAACGUUAAUCGGGGCAGGGUGAGUCGACCCCUAAGGCGAGGCCGAAAGGCGUAGUCGAUGGGAAACGGGUUAAUAUUCCCGUACUUGGUGUUACUGCGAAGGGGGGACGGAGAAGGCUAUGUUGGCCGGGCGACGGUUGUCCCGGUUUAAGCGUGUAGGUGUGUGUUCCAGGUAAAUCCGGUUCACUUUAACACUGAGGCGUGAUGACGAGGCACCACGGUGCUGAAGCAACAAAUGCCCUGCUUCCAGGAAAAGCCUCUAAGCAUCAGGUAACAUCAAAUCGUACCCCAAACCGACACAGGUGGUCAGGUAGAGAAUACCAAGGCGCUUGAGAGAACUCGGGUGAAGGAACUAGGCAAAAUGGUGCCGUAACUUCGGGAGAAGGCACGCUGACACGUAGGUGAAGUGAUUUACUCAUGGAGCUGAAGUCAGUCGAAGAUACCAGCUGGCUGCAACUGUUUAUUAAAAACACAGCACUGUGCAAACACGAAAGUGGACGUAUACGGUGUGACGCCUGCCCGGUGCCGGAAGGUUAAUUGAUGGGGUCAGCGCAAGCGAAGCUCCUGAUCGAAGCCCCGGUAAACGGCGGCCGUAACUAUAACGGUCCUAAGGUAGCGAAAUUCCUUGUCGGGUAAGUUCCGACCUGCACGAAUGGCGUAAUGAUGGCCAGGCUGUCUCCACCCGAGACUCAGUGAAAUUGAACUCGCUGUGAAGAUGCAGUGUACCCGCGGCAAGACGGAAAGACCCCGUGAACCUUUACUAUAGCUUGACACUGAACAUUGAGCCUUGAUGUGUAGGAUAGGUGGGAGGCUUUGAAGCGUGGACGCCAGUCUGCGUGGAGCCGACCUUGAAAUACCACCCUUUAAUGUUUGAUGUUCUAACGUGGACCCGUAAUCCGGGUUGCGGACAGUGUCUGGUGGGUAGUUUGACUGGGGCGGUCUCCUCCUAAAGAGUAACGGAGGAGCACGAAGGUUGGCUAAUCCUGGUCGGACAUCAGGAGGUUAGUGCAAUGGCAUAAGCCAGCUUGACUGCGAGCGUGACGGCGCGAGCAGGUGCGAAAGCAGGUCAUAGUGAUCCGGUGGUUCUGAAUGGAAGGGCCAUCGCUCAACGGAUAAAAGGUACUCCGGGGAUAACAGGCUGAUACCGCCCAAGAGUUCAUAUCGACGGCGGUGUUUGGCACCUCGAUGUCGGCUCAUCACAUCCUGGGGCUGAAGUAGGUCCCAAGGGUAUGGCUGUUCGCCAUUUAAAGUGGUACGCGAGCUGGGUUUAGAACGUCGUGAGACAGUUCGGUCCCUA